UGGAGAGUAUAUCACUUCGUUCGGGUCAAAGGGCAGCUCUUUUGGUCAGCUGCAGAGCCCGUAUGUUGUCACUACAGAUGCCUACGGGAAUGUACUAGUCGCAGAUCGUGGCAAUGGACGUGUUAUGGUAUACGCCGCAGAAACACACACACCGCUGGCUGAGUUUGGAAAAGGAGAGCUGGCCCGGCCGACGGGUGUCUGCGUGACAAGUGAGGGCUUAGUAGCUGUUUCCUGUUAUGGAAACCACAAGAUUUUUGUGUUUUGAAGAUUUCUUGUUAGACACCUGUCAUCAGUCACCUGCUCACACUUUUGUAUGCAUCAUAACAUAAAUGACCAUAGCGUGACACAAACUGUUCUUGUAUCCGAUCCUACUCCCCUCCCCUCCCCCCCCCCCCCCCUCCCCCCACCCCCAACACACGCACACACAUAACCACAACCCCUUAGUUGUACAUCCUUGAUAAUUUUCAGUUGUCUUUUCUUCACUUCUCGGGGAGAAUUUGGUUUUCCUCCACUCAUCCGCCGCCUUGGUUGGUGACGUGUUCUAUCUUACAGCACUCUCACAUGAACUGAACACAUCCCACGCAUGUUAUACCACAGUACUUCGAUUUCUUUACUGGAUUAGGUAGAUGCCGCAACAGUUAUUCCACUCCAGUUAUUCUUAGGUAGCUUCUGGUUCCCGGUGUUUAUUCACCCGGUUAUCUCAGAAAAGAACGUUUGCAAUUGCUAGAAUACAAAUCUGUCCAGUGGUGGAUAUUUUUUUGCAUUGGUCCCUUCUUCUUCAUUUUAAUCCUUGGCUCUCCAUCUGAGUUCAUUAUGCAUUAUUAUGUAGGCUGUAAUAGUUCUGAAUUUUUCUAAUUUUACUUAUUGGAUUGUUUUCUCGCAGAUUAAUCAUAUGAUUAGGAUAUCUAUGCAACAGUUAGUUUGAAUUGUUCACAUCGACAUCACGUUUUCCUUGUACUGA